UACGAAGGGGGCUAGCGUUGCUCGGAAUCACUGGGCGUAAAGGGUGCGUAGGCGGGUCUUAAGUCAGGGGUGAAAUCCUGGAGCUCAACUCCAGAACUGCCUUUGAUACUGAAGAUCUUGAGUUCGGGAGAGGUGAGUGGAACUGCGAGUGUAGAGGUGAAAUUCGUAGAUAUUCGCAAGAACACCAGUGGCGAAGGCGGCUCACUGGCCCGGUACUGACGCUGAGGUGCGAAAGCG
rnacentral:rRNA from 1 species